UACGGAGGGUGCAAGCGUUAUCCGGAUUCACUGGGUUUAAAGGGCGCGUAGGUGGGCUGGUAAGUCAGUGGUGAAAUCUCCAGGCUUAACUUGGAAACUGCCAUUGAUACUAUCAGUCUUGAAUACCGUGGAGGUCAGCGGAAUAUGUCAUGUAGCGGUGAAAUGCUUAGAUAUGACAUAGAACACCAAUUGCGAAGGCAGCUGGCUACACGAAUAUUGACACUGAUGCACGAAAGCGUGGGGAUCAAACAGG
rnacentral:rRNA from 1 species